rnacentral:lncRNA from 1 species
GAGAGAUCGAAGAGAUAAAGACAGAAGACAAAGAGAUAGGAAGAAAGACAGCUGGGCCCGGGGGACCACUGCCACCAAAGCGCGGAGACAGACAGGUAGUGGCCCCGAGUGCCUGGAGGCGCUGCUAUUUAUUGUAGUCAAGGCAAGGGGGCAGGGUAAGGAGUGCCAGUCAUCUCCAAUGAUCGAUAGGUCACGCGAGUCACGUGUGCACUGGACAGGGGGCCUUUCCCUUUGUGGUAGCCGAGGUGGAGAGGGAGGACAGCAAACGUCAGCGUUUCUUCUAUGCACUUAUCAGAAAGAUCGAAGACUGUGGUACUCCUACUAGUUCUGCUACUGCUGUCUUCUAAGAACUUAAAAGGAGGAGCCAGGUGUACAGGCUGAACAUGAAAGUGAACAAGGAGCGUGACCACUGAAGCACAGCAUCACAGGGAGACAGACGUUGGAGCCUCCGGAUGACUGCGGGCCGGCCUGGCUAAUGUCAGACCUCCCACAAGAGGUGGUGGAGCGGAGCGUUCUCUGUCUCCCCUGGAGAGAGGGAGAUUCCCUUUCCGGGUCUGCUAAGUAACGGGUGCCUUCCCAGGCACUGGGGCCACCGCUAGACCAAGGCCUGCUAAGUAACCAGGGCCUUCCCAGGCACUGGCAUUACCGCUAGGCCAAGGAGCCCUCCAGCGGCCCUUCUCUGGGCGUGAAUGAGGGCUCACACUCUCGUCUUCUGGUCACCUCUCACUGUGGCCCUUCAGCUCCUAACUCUGUGUGGCCUGGUUUCCCCCAAGGUAAUCAUAAUAGAACAGAGAUCAUUAUGGUAAUAGAACAAAGAGUGAUGCUACAAACUAAUGAUUAAUAAUAGUCAGAUAUAAUCCUAUCCGUUUCCUAUCUCUAGUAAAACUUUUCUUAUUCUAAUUAUUUUCUUCGCUGUACUGGAACAGCUUGUGCCUUCAGGCUCUUGCCUGGGCACCUGGGUGGCUUGCG